GAUAUCCUUAGUAAAAACCUGUCUCAGAGCGCUCAGGACAUCAGUCUGGGCCAAAGGUUCACUUUCUAACAGGACAAUGACCCUAAGCAUACUAACAAAAUAAUGCAAGAGUGAUUGAGGGCAAAUUCCAUAAUUGUCCUUGAUUGACCCAGCCAGAGGCUGGAUUUUAACCCAAUUGAAAAUCUCUGGAGAGACCUAAAAAUGGCUAUCUACCGACAAAGCUUGAGAG